GCCAGGCAUGCUGGUGCACGUCUGUAAUCCCAGCUACUCAGGAGGCUGAGGUGGGAUAAUCGUUAGUGCCCAGGAGCUCUAGGAUGUCGUGAGCUAUGCUGAUUGCAUUUCCACACUAAGUUUGGCAUUAAUUUGGUGACCUCCCAAGAGUAGGGGACCACCACCAGGCUGGAAAUGGAGCAGGUCAAAACUCCUGUGCUAGGCCAGGCACGGGGUGGCUCACGCCUGUAAUCCCAGCCGAGGCAGGUGGAUCACUUGAGGUCAAGAGUUCAAGACAAGCCUGGUCGACAUGGUGAAACCAUGUCUCU
rnacentral:sRNA from 1 species